UCCUUCACUCUCUCACGUUUCCCUCACUCUGCACGCCACCUAUCACCUUGUCAUUCACGUUGACCAUACUUAAAAUCUUUCUCAAUCCCCUUAUUUAAUAACACACUCAACGUUUUUUCUGUGAAAAAAAGACAAAAGAGGAAGAAAGAGAGAGAGGCUAUCUACACUAAUAACUCUCUCUCAGCGGAAAAUAAGGAAAAAGGGCACACAGGGGGAUGCUCCUACUGAUACUCCUACCACUAUUAUCUAUAUCCCAUACACAGUAAAAAGAAAGGGGGAGAAAAAACGCAAAAACAGUUCCUCUUUUUAAGGCUCCCACUGUUCAUCUCAAAAAAACUCCAUCCUCACACAAUUAAAACACAAACCGGAUUCUCAACCUGAUCUCCAUCACAUUUUAAACCCCUGGCUGGAAAACAGAGAGGAUAAAAAAUAUAAAACAGAAAAAUAAAAGAAACCUCUUCGUCUUCCCCUGAGCGCGACACCCACGUAACUUUCGGUCACCACCCACCUCCGUUUCACCGUGAACUUCCUUCCUCCCAUACAUCAACACACACCUCCACUAACAAACCAAACCCCUCACUCACCUGAACACUCCACAAAACUCACCAAGUAAACCAGCCAUCAACGAGAAAACGUAACCUCACGGUUUGCCGUUAAACACCACAACACCCGCCGAUCCAACCAUCCAAAUCCCUCACAAAACCGGCGAAAAACACCAUUGUCGGCACACCUUCAAAACCCGCUGCAUAACACCACAUCGACACCAUCGCCUCGCUCAUCUUUUUCCUUCCGCCGGAAUCGACACGGCUCAGCUCAUCACCAAUAAACCUCCGUUCGUGUUCGAAUUCACUAUUCACACCGUCAACUACAACCUCGACUCAACCCAUGUUUCCGCAACAACGGGAAUUUGAGCAACUUCGCCUCGUUUCUUUCCGCCGUGCUUCCACAACCGACGAAACCAAGCAACAAACCUUUCAGCUCUGCAACGACAACAAAUGACAGUAGUGACACAAUUUCGGUUUAAUGCUAUUAUUUUCUUGCUGCGGAAUUAAAAUGGUUUGGCAUCGCGUAUAACAGUUUAUGUCAUGUUUUCCUGGAUGUUAUGCUAUUUGUUAUAACCACUGUUUUUGGUUUUGAUUCGGUUGCAGUAAUCUAUGCUGAUGGGUAUGUUGUAAUAUUCUUUUCCGGGGUGUUUUCAAUGUGAUCGUGUUGUUGUUGUUGUUGUGUGCUUAAGUUGUCGCAUUUAAAAUCAAAUAUCAUUCGCAGCUUCGACGCGUAAAUGUUUCGAUUA